ensembl:lncRNA
UUUCCUGGAAAUUCCUGAAGGGUUAGAGGAGGACUUCCUUUGAAUUUUUACUCAAGGAGGCGCAGCUUCCAACAGGCCAAGGGGCCUGAACUGGUGGCAGCUAGACUCAUUUCCUACCACAUUCCUAUUCUACUGCUAAACUUCUUUGACCCUAACAGUGUCAGAGAAGUGAAGACUCCCAGAGCUGUUCAGAGGAAGGGAAGGAACAAUUUCAAAGGCUAUUCGUGGGUUUUCACAACUGUGAGUCAUAUCUUACAACUCUGUGGCUACCUUUGAAGCUCUAACCGAAAUGAUGUAUUUCAUUUAGUCAGCAUCUGUGCAAUUCCUGUGGCGUGGUAGCCAGAAGUCCUGACUAAGCUGAAAAUGAAUGGUGACCACCAAGAAAAUCAUCAGUAAAAUCUUCGAACAUAUUAGUCUGAGUGCAACUGCGAAACUGAACUUCUGACAGCAGAUUCAUGGCCGGGAGAGGAGUCCCCUCCCACACCCAGCAGCCAGCUCUUCAGCAGAAGACUGCCAUAUAACAAAAAAGCCUGAGAAAUUUAGGUGUGUUUGAACUUCAUAGAAGAUGUCUCUCUGAGCCUGGGGUUGGAGUUGCAGCUCUGACUUCCUGGCUAGCAGGUAACCUGGCAAGCCAAUGUCUCCGUCAGUGAGAAUGGUUCUGAAAUGACCCAUGUGCCUCUUGACUUUGCUGAGCCUGGGAAUGCUGUGGUGCUCACAGAGGUAGGAGAAACGGGUGCCGAGACUCUGAAUGGAAGUGCAGCAUCUACAAUCCGGCCUGGCCCUACGUCACCCCUUGUCCUGGCAGCAGCCUCAGAGAGAGUUUAUUGACAAAGGAGAAGGAAGCUCUCAGCUCCCUGAGACAGCGGUGAAGAUGCAUAAAUAGAAGCACAGCCAGAUAAAGUAUUGCUGUGGUACACUGUCUCCAUGAAAAGGUCUCCUUAGUUUGGACUUACAAAGUGAAUGUUUGGGCCUGAGAUUUUGACUGAAGUCACCUCAGCCUGAAAUGUGAAAGCCUGAGGUGUAGGUGAAACACUUUACUGGAGCUUAUCUAGCCUUAGAAGUGGCACUCACAGCAUUUGAUUAUGAAGAAGAUGUUGUGUGACACAAUUCCUUGAGCAAGAACAGCAAACAUUUACUCAUCCCAACUAAGGAACUGACAACAGACCAAAAUAAGGGAGGAACCUUCUACUAAAACUGCCCAAGAAGACAGAAUGGAGCCAUGCUGAAAACAACAAAGGACUAUAGUGAUGAAAUUCUAGUGCUUGAAGUGGAAGACCAAAGGCAGAUUUGAAGAAUUUUCCCAAUUAGUGUGUGGAGGUGGUGAAGGAUGUUUCUGAAACAGCUUUCAUUGCUAAUCUUUGUUUCCAAAUCUGUUUCUCAGGGAAACAAGCUUGACCAUUGACUUAUUGAAAAGGGUCUCCUUAUGUAUCCUGGGUUGUACUUGAACCUACAAUGUAACCAGUUUGUCUCUGAACUCACAUUGGUCCUCCUGACUCAGCCUUGUCAGUUUCCUUUGCUGAACUUGUGACUGAGGGAUCAGUGACUUUACCUCCCCUCCUUACUGGAGCCCUUGGGAGUCAGUGGAGCUCAUUUCCAUAUUCCUUACACCAGAGUCUGAAUCAAUUCAGAAACAGUUCCCAAUGGUCAGGAGGGCAGCAUAAGCCUAUUUGUGGAUAUGAGGAGGAGGUCGCUGAGAUCUAACUCGAACUUGUAAUUCUGAACUUCUGAAAACCAUUUGUCCAGUGGUAGUCUGGUUGCAGAGGGAAGCAUUUCUGAAGUAGAUUGGCAGAACACAAGAAGAGAGUGCCUGCCUCCAAGCAUGAGUCCAGUUCUGAGAGAGAUCCUCCAGCAAGAAAGCCUUGCUUCGUGGACUGCCCUUGCUACCACAAAGAGACUGACAGACCUUCCGUUGCCUUUCUCAAUUUCCUUAUAAAGCUCAAUGGCCUUUUGUGAGUCUUGACAACACACAUGACAUGUUAUGCUCUUGAGACCUCUGAGGUAGAAUAUGGUGAGGAGGGAGACUUCCUCCUGAGCUCUUUCAUAAGAGGGAAAGCAGGCAGAGGAAGAGUGGGGGCCACCAGCCAGGGGGAUGCAUAGGUGUGGCACAAUUCCACUGUGAUGGUGUUGUCUCUGGUAGCCUUUGGUAGAUCCCUUCUCUCAGAACUUCUGGGCAUACUGCAUGUAUUUCCACUUGCCCAGAACCAUGAUACUAAGAAAAAUGUUGGGAGCAGAAUGCAGCUUAUAGAACUGUAGCCCCUCGCACGUGCUCUAUGUGACAGAACCCUCGUUUUGUAGGUGUAGUUAUAAAACAUGGUGUCCACAAGCUGAAAGGAAAACAUGCAUACUCUAUGUCCUGGGAAUGUACUGAUGAUUUCACAAGACUAGUCUCAGAAAUGGAGUUCAGUAUAUGUAGAAGGGAAAUCUCUACUUAUUCUGAACUUUUUACAUAGAAGCAUGGGACUGGAUUGGUUGAAAAUCAAAAACAGUGGCCUGGAACUUGGGAGAUGGAAACAGCAACUUCUAAGGUUUUGGAAAUGACCCUGAGAAAUCACUGUCUGCCAGUUCGUAUCCAUUAAAGAAGUUAUCCAUUAAACUAGGGGAAUCCCCCCAUCUCAGUGACUCCCACAUAAAGACCACUGAUGUCUCAAGAAUAAUAGACUGGUUGGCUGAAUUGGUGGCUACAGUUACAGACUCAAUGCAUACACACACACACACACACACACACACACACACACACACACACACGGAGAGAGAAAGAGACAAACAGAGAGAGAAGGGGUGGAAUAUGGCUGAAAAGCAUGAGAUAUCUCCACCUUUCAUUUUAUCAGCUAGUGGCCAGAGAGUUCCUUACCUGGCUUAAUUAUUUUGUUUAUAAACAUUGCCUGAUGAGAGGACUGUUAAAGUGUACCAUUGAGUAAUAUGAUAACCAGAAAUUCAAAAGGUUGACUUGUAAUACUUCACAGGCAAAUUCUUUCCACGAAUAUAAGCUUGCUGCUGCUAAGAAGGGUUUAUGUCUUUAAGACUAUGGAGUAUUAACAAGGACAUUGCUUUUACAUUGAUAUAAAUCAGCACAGAGUGUGAAUUCUACAUUUUGUAGGAAAGUCUGUACAAGAGGAAAUGAAAGGAGAAUAAAGGAAUGGCUUGAGAGGUAAUGACUGGGACUAUGAAAGGUUGCACUGUUAAGGACCCUGAUCUUAUAUUCUCCAGGAUGGUAAAUGAUGUUGACUUGGAACAUGGGAACAACCCUGGACAAUGUCCCCUUUUACAUAAAUGUUAAGGGAAGGGGAAAAAAAGGACACAGCACAAAGGAGGAUUCCAGGAAUAUACAUGGCAAACAGUUUUUUCUUUAAAGUUCCAAAUUGGUAUUCUGCCCUUUUCUUACUUUUUUUUCUUGCAAAAGAAAUAUUUUGAAAACCAAAUCCUGUGCUGGGAUCUGGUGACUGGUCAUAAGUCUUGUUCGGCUUGGAAACUUGGUAAGGAUCCAAUGUGAAUAGAUUAGCUAAGUGCUGCUAUGGCCCGG